AAGAUUGGGUUAUUAGUUUUCAGUUAAAAACAGUGAUGAAGAUACAUAGCUUCUCAUUUGUUGUAAUUUUAAAUUUGGUUUAGUGAUGUUGGUGCUCACAACAAAUUGAAUCAAGUGAUGGGAAAUUGAAGGCACUGAGAUUGAGUUCAUUAAUUAUAACAUAGGUAUCAAUUUUUUGUACUACUUAUUUGGAUUUAUUUUUUUUAGAUUGUUCCCUUGAAGUUUUGUUUGUGUUGAUGGAUUUAUUUGGUCUCGAUUGUUGGUGAACUUUAAGCUUGGUUAUCGUAGGAAAAUGCUUAAUUAAUGAACACAUGUUUUGUAGCACUGGAUAGGUGUAACUAAUGCUAUAUAAGGGGUUAGCUUAUGCUAUAUCUUUUAUUCGUGUCUUGGUUCUAUUUUAAGUUGUUUCUAUUGAUUAUUAAAUAACAAUGUGUAUCAAAUGAGGCAUAUGGACUUGAAUUAGUUUUCAUAAUUUAAAGAGGCUAGUGUGUUAAAUUCUCUGGACAACUUAUGUCAUUUUGUGAACGAUUGACUUAUUCUGUUUGACACUUCCAAAGCACCUUACUCAAGUUGCACGGGUUGAAGGGUGAGAGGCUUGGAGUUCACCAAUCUAAUGUAGAACGUAUUCUCUGUGACAUGGUUCAGGUAAAGGCAC
rnacentral:lncRNA from 1 species